AGGAGCUUAGGAUAAUCAGACCAAAGACCUUCAAAGCCUUUUAGUAGAAGUUAAAACCUUCUAGUUCCUA
rnacentral:tRNA from 1 species